ACUGCUCAGUAACACGUGGCUAAUCUGCCCUUGGGACCGGAACACCCCCGGGAAACUGGGGCUAAUUCUCGAUAGGUGAAGAACUCUGGAAUGAGUCUUUGCCGAAAAGUUGUCAGGGUUAUGCUCUCUGAUAACGCCCAAGGAUGAGGCCGCGACCGAUCAGGUUGUUGGUGAGGUAAUGGCUCACCAAGCCUUUUACCGGUGCGGGCCGUGAGAGCGGGAGCCCGGAGAUGGGCACUGAGACAAGGGCCCAGGCCCUACGGGGCGCAGCAGUCGCGAAAACUUUGCAAUACACGAAAGUGUGACAGGGCUAUCCCGAGUGCCAUCCGCUGAGGAAGGCUUUUACCCAGUCUAGAACGCUGGGGGAAUAAGGAGAGGGCAAGUCUGGUGUCAGCCGCCGCGGUAAUACCAGCUCUCCGAGUGGUGUGGAUGUUUAUUGGGCCUAAAGCAUCCGUAGCUGGCUAAGUUAGUCCCUUGUUAAAUCCACCGAAUUAAUCGUUGGAUUGCGGGGGAUACUGCUUGGCUAGGGGACGAGAGAGGCAGACGGUAUUUCCGGGGUAGGGGUGAAAUCCUAUAAUCCCGGGAAGACCACCAGUGGCGAAGGCUGUCUGCUAGAACGCGCCCGACGGUGAGGGAUGAAAGCUGGGGGAGCGAACCGGAUUAGAUACCCGGGUAGUCCCAGCUGUAAACGAUGCAGGCUAGGUGUUUGGACGGCCACGUGCCGUUCUAGUGCCGCAGGGAAGCUGUUAAGCCUGCCGCCUGGGGAGUACGAUCGCAAGAUUGAAACUUAAAGGAAUUGGCGGGGGAGCA
rnacentral:rRNA from 1 species